rnacentral:rRNA from 1 species
UACAGAGGUCUCAAGCGUUGUUCGGAUUCAUUGGGCGUAAAGGGUGCGUAGGCGGCGCGGUAAGUCGGGUGUGAAAUCUUGGAGCUUAACUCCGAAACUGCAUUCGAUACUGCCGUGCUUGAGGACUGGAGAGGAGACUGGAAUUUACGGUGUAGCGGUGAAAUGCGUAGAUAUCUGGAGGAACACCGGUGGCGAAGGCGGCAUCCUGGACCGGCAUUGACGCUGAGGAGCGAAAGCGUGGGUAGCAAACAGG